UACGUAGGGUCCGAGCGUUAAUCGGAAUUACUGGGCGUAAAGCGUGCGUAGGCGGUCCGCGAAGUCUGAUGUGAAAGCCCCGGGCUCAACCUGGGAACUGCAUUGGAAACUAACGGGCUCGAGUGUGGCAGAGGGGGGUGGAAUUCCACGUGUGGCAGUGAAAUGCGUAGAGAUGUGGAGGAACACCGAUGGCGAAGGCAGCCCCCUGGGCUAACACUGACGCUCAGGCACGAAAGCGUGGGGAGCAAACAGG
rnacentral:rRNA from 1 species